UUAAUUGAAACCAAAAAGAGGUAUGUCAUUGUUAAUGACAAAAUUGAAUUAAAUUCCAAUUAAA
rnacentral:tRNA from 1 species